rnacentral:rRNA from 1 species
GGUUAAGUGACUAAGCGUACACGGUGGAUGCCUUGGCAGUCAGAGGCGAUGAAAGACGUAGUAACUUGCGAUAAGCCCAGAUUAGGUAGUAACAACCAUUUGAGUCUGGGAUUUCUGAAUGGGGAAACCCACGUGCAUAAGCACGUAUCCUUACCUGAAUACAUAGGGUAAGGAGGCGAACCGGGGGAACUGAAACAUCUAAGUACCCCGAGGAAAAGAAAUCAACCGAGAUUCCGAAAGUAGCGGCGAGCGAAAUUGGACUAGCCCUUAAGCUUUACACGCGUUAGACGAACGGUCUGGAAAGUCCGACGAUACAGGGUGAUAGUCCCGUAGUUGACGACGUGUGUUCAGUGAAAUCGAGUAGGGCGGGACACGUGAUAUCCUGUCUGAAUAUGGGGGGACCAUCCUCCAAGGCUAAAUACUACUGACUGACCGAUAGUGAACCAGUACCGUGAGGGAAAGGCGAAAAGAACCCCUGUGAGGGGAGUGAAAUAGAACCUGAAACCGUGUACGUACAAGCAGUAGGAGCAGGCUUUGUCCUGUGACUGCGUACCUUUUGUAUAAUGGGUCAGCGACUUAUAUUCAGUGGCAAGGUUAACCAUCUAGGGGAGCCGUAGGGAAACCGAGUCUUAACUGGGCGUUCAGUCUCUGGAUAUAGACCCGAAACCAGGUGAUCUAGCCAUGGGCAGGUUGAAGGUUGAGUAACAUCAACUGGAGGACCGAACCGACUAAUGUUGAAAAAUUAGCGGAUGACUUGUGGCUAGGGGUGAAAGGCCAAUCAAACCUGGAGAUAGCUGGUUCUCCCCGAAAGCUAUUUAGGUAGCGCCUCGGACGAAUACUACUGGGGGUAGAGCACUGUUAAGGCUAGGGGGUCAUCCCGACUUACCAACCCUUUGCAAACUCCGAAUACCAGUAAGUACUAUCCGGGAGACACACGGCGGGUGCUAACGUCCGUCGUGGAGAGGGAAACAACCCAGACCGCCAGCUAAGGUCCCAAAUUACUACUAAGUGGGAAACGAUGUGGGAAGGCUCAGACAGCCAGGAUGUUGGCUUAGAAGCAGCCAUCAUUUAAAGAAAGCGUAAUAGCUCACUGGUCGAGUCGGCCUGCGCGGAAGAUGUAACGGGGCUAAGUAGUAAACCGAAGCUGCGGCAAUGUGCUUUUGCACAUUGGGUAGGGGAGCGUUCUGUAAGCGGUUGAAGGUGUGUGGUAACGCAUGCUGGACGUAUCAGAAGUGCGAAUGCUGACAUGAGUAACGAUAAAGGGGGUGAAAAACCUCCUCGCCGGAAGACCAAGGGUUCCUGUCCAACGUUAAUCGGGGCAGGGUAAGUCGACCCCUAAGGCGAGGCCGAAAGGCGUAGUCGAUGGGAAACGGGUUAAUAUUCCCGUACUUCUUACAAUUGCGAUGGGGGGACGGAGAAGGCUAGGUGGGCCUGGCGACGGUUGU